AGAGAAAAAGGGGGCAGCUGCCAGCCUCGCGAAAGGAGGAGUGGAGGUUGAGAUGAACGUCUCUCGCCAAAACUCCAUCUAAAAUAGCAGCGACGAGACGAGCGAGAAUAUCUGCCAAUUCAAAACCAAAAAGGAGAGGAGGGGAGCCCCGGACGGAGAAGAGAACAGAAGAAACCCCGCGGCCACCCCUUCCUGCCUAUAUUUCUCUCUCUGUCUUGCGCGACAGGGAGAGACCAGCGCCAACACCUCCGGUUUCUUGAUUGGGUGGUGAUCGGUGAAGGAAGGAGAAAUUAAGAUGAGCCUCUUCGGGCUUGGGAGCAAGAAUCAGAAGACGUUCAGGCCUAAGAAGAAUGCACCGUCUGGCAACAAGGGUGUGCAGCUGAAGAAACACAUCGAUGCAACCUUAGGAAGCGGGAAUUUGAGGGAUGCUGUCCGAUUGCCACCAGGGGAGGAUCUCAAUGAAUGGCUAGCUGUUAACACUGUUGAUUUCUUCAACCAGGUGAACAUCCUGUAUGGUACUCUAAUGGAGUUCUGCACACCAGCUACAUGCCCAACAAUGUCAGCUGGACCAAAGUUUGAGUAUAGAUGGGCCGAUGGGGUGCAGAUCAAGAAACCAAUUGAGGUUUCAGCACCAAAGUAUGUUGAGUACUUGAUGGAUUGGAUCGAAGCUCAGCUUGAUGACGAAUCCAUCUUCCCUCAGAAACUCGGAACCCCUUUUCCACAAAAUUUCAAGGAAGUUGUGAAGACAAUCUUUAAGCGACUUUUCCGUGUUUAUGCUCAUAUUUACCACUCACAUUUUCAAAAGAUUGUCAGCCUUAAGGAGGAAGCACAUCUUAACACUUGCUUCAAGCAUUUUACAUUGUUCACUUGGGAAUUCACGUUGAUUGACAAGGCUGAGCUUGCACCACUUAUUGAUCUAAUUGAAUCCAUUGUUUCAGUUUGUUGACAUGACAUCAAUGAUUAUUUGGAUCAUUUUCUUAUUUUUGGAGAGCAAGGAGUUACAACUAAGUGUCCAGUAUGAGGGUGUGUUUCCAUAGGGAUAAACAAAACAAGAUUGCGAGAACAAAGUGGUGGAAACUGAAAGGAGAUACAUCAAAAGUCUCAAGAAAAGGGCCAUCAAAGAAGACACUUGGAAGGAAGAAGAUGACAUAAACAACAUGUGGAAGAAGAUGGCACCCUAUAUUUGCGAGGUGUGUGGAGCAACUAAAGGGAGUGGAUGCGAAGCUAAAGGUACUUGGUAGUGGAAGUACAUGGAUGAUUUGAUACUUGUCAAUACAGUGUAUUAGCGCAACAGUGUUUUUCAGCCUCUCGCAAUAGGGUACAGUGCGGGGGUAUUUAUAGGUAACCAGGGGACGAUUUCACCCUCUCAAAUACAGUUAUGCCCCUGGUUACCUACGUUAUCCCUGAAAUAUUCCCCUCUCAAGGGUUAUUACAAGUCAUUACAACAUGAUUAGGUAUUUCACGGACGGA